rnacentral:rRNA from 1 species
GAUGAACGCUGGCGGCGUGCCUAAUACAUGCAAGUCGAGCGAAUGGAUUAAGAGCUUGCUCUUAUGAGGUUAGCGGCGGACGGGUGAGUAACACGUGGGUAACCUGCCCAUAAGACUGGGAUAACUCCGGGAAACCGGGGCUAAUACCGGAUAACAUUUUGAACCGCAUGGUUCGAAAUUGAAAGGCGGCUUCGGCUGUCACUUAUGGAUGGACCCGCGUCGCAUUAGCUAGUUGGUGAGGUAACGGCUCACCAAGGCAACGAUGCGUAGCCGAGCUGGGAGGGUGAGGGGCCCCACUGGGACUGAGACACUGCCAAGACUCCUACGGGAGGCAGCAGUAGGGAAUCUUCCGCAAUGGACGAAAGUCUGACGGAGCAACGCCGCGUGAGUGAUGAAGGCUUUCGGGUCGUAAAACUCUGUUGUUAGGGAAGAACAAGUGCUAGUUGAAUAAGCUGGCACCUUGACGGUACCUAACCAGAAAGCCACGGCUAACUACGUGCCAGCCGCCGCAGUAA